AACGAACGCUGGCGGCGUGCUUAACACAUGCAAGUCGAACGCGAAAGGGACUUCGGUCCUGAGUAAGGUGGCGCACGGGUGAGUAACGCGUAGAUAACCUGUCUUCAUGUCUGGAAUAAUACGCCGAAAGGGGUACUAAUACCGGAUAUCUUGCUUUUCAUAAGUUAUGCAAGCAAAGGUGGCCUCUGCAUAUGCUACUGCAUGAAGAGGGGUCUGCGUACCAUUAGCUAGUAGGUGGGGUAAUGGCCUACCUAGGCGACGAUGGUUAGCGGGUCUGAGAGGAUGAUCCGCCACACUGGCACUGGAACACGGGCCAGACUCCUACGGGAGGCAGCAGUGAGGAAUAUUGCGCAAUGGGGGAAACCCUGACGCAGCGACGCCGCGUGAGUGAGGGAAAGGCCUUCGGGUCGUAAAGCUCUGUCAAGAGGAAAGAAGUGUACAAUGGCUAAUACCUGUUGUAUUUGACGGUACCUCUAAAGGAAGCACCGGCUAACUCCGUGCCAGCAGCUGC
rnacentral:rRNA from 1 species